GGGGUUGACACGGAUUUGACAGCAGGAUGGAAUGGCGUGUAAGCACGCAGAGGGUCGGUGAUUGCCUCUAUAAUCUCAGUUACCAGAAAUUUAUCUGGCGAAAACAACUACGCUCUCGCUGCGUAAUCGAAGUACAGUAGAUUACCUUUAUUUCGGCACCAGGUGCUGAAACGAGACAUCACUCAGAAGCUGUUGCUCCGAAGCAUUCUGAUCCAGUGGUGCAGCUAAAUCGGGGAUAGUUCCGUAUGGCCUCGCAUAGGGGAUGAAAUUUUAGAGGAUAAGGCAAAAGUGGGUGGCCCGGGUCUUGCUUUUGCUCGAAAACCGAAGGCCGGGAUAAGCGUGUAGAAAGCAUGUGAUUUCCCUGUUUGGACGAGGGUUCGAUUCCCUCCAGCUCCACAA
rnacentral:tmRNA from 1 species